AAGGUGCUCGCUUGGCGAGCAUCCACUGGUUAAGUCCAUCCUUCCUUGGGUCGUCCACCGACUGCAUCUUGUGGUUGGCACCACAUCACCGGCACGAUCGUCACCUCUCGGUCCUAAAUGAGAUGCAAGAUGCAUAUGUAUGAAUAUAAUGAAAUAGCACAAGAUACUUUAAGUACAUGUUAGCGAAUUAACACUAAGUAGCGAGGCAUCAUAAGCAACCACACACACUAGCGUUAGCUACUACAUAUCAUUGAGCGCACAACAUUAACACCACUAAAAGACGACAAACAUUUUGUUUAUUUAUGCAACACGACUACGACAUCGCAAGUACACGCAUUUGCUACGCUCACCUUAAUCAUUCAUUUGUUCUUCUAUUGACCACACAAGAGCAACCAAGACAACGCAAGUUUAAAUAGGACCUAGGCAUCACUAACUACGGAACUCCUAUAUCACAAUCAACUAGAGCAAGAGACAUACAAAACAUGACACACGUGCAUUAUUAAGCUUAGUCAUGGCAAGUCUACAUUACUUAAGUGUUAACCAAACAUUUUUAGCAAACAGGGUGAACUAAACAAUCAAAUGCGCACAUGCAGAUUUUUUUAGGACAGCAGCACAUCAGUUACUUAUGUUAAUCAUAACUCUUCAAAUAUUAAUCUAAAAAUAUUAAACUAGGACUUUCUGGAAAGCUUAAAAGGUGAACUACAACUUUGGUAAUUUGACCUCAACACGAUUCAACACUUAGCAAGGUCAAAAUGUGCUAAUACAACAGCUCUGUCCAGAUUUGGACAGAUUCAGACUUGCAACUUCAAAAAUUCACAACUAAAGAUUCAGACAUCCAAACAAAUUGAUUCUAGACUUUCUGGAGAGCUAAUUAAAUGUUCUACAAAUUAUUUAUAAACAUCUCAAGGUUAUUCAAAAUGCAAUUUAGGAAUAAAGACAUUAGAAGGCUUUGCUGUCCAGAAUUGGACAGAUUCAGUCUUCUCACUUUAAACAUUCAUAACUUAAUAUUCAGACCACCAAAAAUAGUGAUCCAAGACUUUUUGGAAAGCUCAGCAAAAGCACUACAUAACGUUUAUAAUCACCAAGAAGUGAUUCAAUGUUUAACUAAAUCAAACAACACAGUUUUCGAAAUCUGUUCUGACAGAGGACAGAACACAGCAACCAGUUUGUAAAAUUCAUAACUCUUAACCUAUCAAGCCUAUGGUUAUGAAAUUUUAACACAAGCAGGAUCAGAAAAGCAUCUACAACUUUCUUAUAACGACCAUGCACAGAUUGCAACAUUAAAUUGAGCAAACAAUGCAGUUUCUGAAAUCUGUACAUAAUUUGGACAGAUUCAGUUACUGAAUUUGUAAAAAGCUUAACUCCUAAACUGUCAGACCUAUGGCUGUCAAAUUUUAGUACAAGCAAGAUAAUCAUGUUAUCUACAACUCUUCUAUAUGACUUUUCUACAGAAAACAUGAUUUGGUUUAUUAAACAAACAGCACAACGAAAACAAUGCGUGCAGCCCAAAACAGCAACUAAUUAAUUUCAGCUCCUAUACAAUUCAAGAAUUGCCGCGUUCUAAGUACUUGAAUUAUUCUAACACUUUACCAUUCGUUAGAGUUGAAUUAAUUAAAUGAGGACUAACAAGUAGACUUACAAAUUUUAUCCAAAUCAUUUAGUGCACAAAAAUUCUCACAUACAUUUAACAAAUGCAUUCACCAUGCAUAUAGCAUCAUUACCCACGACCUUGACUUAACCACAAAGGAAGCGAUGACUACUUCAGCAUGUCACCACUUCAUCACACCCAUUCAUCACCUAUGUGCGCAGUAAUUCAUUUCUUGCGGCACAUGCACUCAAAAUCAAUCCACACUACACAAAAUACACUUAUCUCUUAUUUAUGCGCAGACUUAACACAUUUCGGGAUAAAGCGUCACUAUAAACACCUUACACCUAAUUGCCUUAGGAACCUAUUAGUUCACUCGAAGACAUCUAUUCAAGUCAUAAGCACAAUCAUACACUUACUUGUGAAGCACAAUUUAAGGAACGCCUAACGCGUAUAGACUCGACUUAUAAUUGUAGAGGAAGUGAUGACUACUUACGGCAUGACAUCACCUCUCUAAUUAGGCCAAGACAAUUCCCACCUAUAUUGACCAAACAUUUAUGUCGAGCACAAUUAUUUAUGACCACAUUUAUCGACUAGACAAGUGAAACACUAACCGAUUAUUCGCAAACUCGUCCAUAAACACAAAUCACAUGCCUCAUAAUUUAUAUCUUCGACCCACUCUAUCCUACACCAUGAUGAAUACAUAAAAUAUAUUUAACAUAGACUAACUCAUUAGCCGACUAUGGAAAUUACUAAGCAUGUUUUACGCUUUAUUUAAUUUACCACAACUAACACACUACUUUACGACGAAGUGCUUUAGCAAACAAUUAAUACACCCGCAACCAAUCCCUACGACGUACAAAAGAACUAUCGCAGCCACAUAUAUAUCCGAUCCAACAACAAAAUAACACAUCGGCUCACCAUAUCAAACCUCAGUCGUGGUUGCUGCACAUGUGGCGUGAAGACGAACGCAUCGUCGAUCACGGGAGACCGAAGCAAAGUCGACGGAGCAC
rnacentral:lncRNA from 1 species